AACGAACGCUGGCGGCAUGCCUAACACAUGCAAGUCGAACGAGACCUUCGGGUCUAGUGGCGCACGGGUGCGUAACGCGUGGGAACCUGCCCUUAGGUUCGGAAUAACUCCCCGAAAGGGGUGCUAAUACCGGAUAAUGUCUUCGGACCAAAGAUUUAUCGCCUUUGGAUGGGCCCGCGUUGGAUUAGCUAGUUGGUAGGGUAAAAGCCUACCAAGGCGACGAUCCAUAGCUGGUCUGAGAGGAUGAUCAGCCACACUGGGACUGAGACACGGCCCAGACUCCUACGGGAGGCAGCAGUGGGGAAUAUUGGACCAUGGGCGAAAGCCUGAUCCAGCAAUGCCGCGUGAGUGAUGAAGGCCUUAGGGUUGUAAAGCUCUUUUACCCGGGAUGAUAAUGACAGUACCGGGAGAAUAAGCCCCGGCUAACUCCGUG
rnacentral:rRNA from 1 species